rnacentral:lncRNA from 10 species
GUGUGUUAAAGUUAUUCUGAUAUUGACUGUAGUUCUGAGCUUUGUCUCUAUCCCACCAAACCACUAACUUCUGGAAAUUACUUGUAGACCAAGAUGGGAGGACUCCGUGUGUGGCUCCGUCUCUUCAUGUGACAAAGAAACUUCCUAAAAUACUAAAAGCUAAAGGAGAUUGUUAUCUAAGCUUGAGAUGGAAGGUUGCCAGCGGAAACUUGGAGGAUCACAGCCAGUCGCCUGGGAUUGACCACAGGGAGUGGCAGAGGCAGAAAGCAAAAGACCAGUUGCAAUUAUCCAGGUAAAAGAUGGAGGCUGUUGCAAUAAUCCAGGAUCCUGAAUUGAGCCUGUGUUCCCAGUUCCUAGAAACCCUCAAGGUUAUUGGUUUCCUCCUCGCUUAAUAGACCAGUGGAAGAAAUCUACCUCCAGUUCUAUCUUCACAUGAGCAACUGUUUACAGUUUACAAUAUUACUCUGAAAAUCAGUUCUUUUCAAGUUUUAUCUAACACCCACCAGAAGAAACAGAAGAUUAUGAAAAUGGAAUUUGUCAAAGUUCCUCUCCCAACAAUAUGAUAUUUAAUUUUGCUAACAUUUUUUUUUGAACACUUACUAUAUUGCAGACAAUGGUCUAAGUAAAGCAUUUUAUGUGCAUCCUAUCAUGUCAUCAUCACACAGCCCUGUGAGGUAGAUACUAUUAUUAUUAACCACAUUUCACAUUCAAAAAAACUGAGGCUUAGAGAGACUAAGUAAAUUGUCCAAGGUCACACAGCCAUGAAGUGGCAGAGCUGUGGUUAAAACCUAUGUCUGUCUGAUGUUUAAGAUUUUGCUGUUAGCAUUACUUUGAAAUGACAAUAUGAGGGCAUUUUAUGUAUUUUUUUUGCCCCAAUAUGAUCUGCAGAAACUAUGUAUUUUAAGUACUACAUUUCUUUUAUUUACCAAAUUAUUGUCAGAUAAGAAACCGAAAUAAAAGUUUACAGGGUCUAGGAUUCCUCCAUAAUGAAUGAACUUUGGGGUAUUUCAGUGACAAAUUGGCUUUAACGCGAUCAAAUUCCAUCCUACAAUGAAAGUGUGUUAGUUUGUGGUUUCAAGUUUAAAAACAGCACUGUAUUGUCUUCCAGAAAUAUAUAAAUAGAAAUUCAAGAAGUAUUUCAAUGAAUACAGAUAAAAUUAGUUUUGUUAGAACAUCAAAUAUGUGGGUUUCAUUUCUUAGCUCAGUUUAGAAACUGUAAUUUCAAUUUUUUUUAGCAGCUGUGGUAAAUUUUGAGAUUUGAAAUUUCAUAUAAUAUAAAUCCUCAUUUAUUGAGCAUUUAAAUUAUAUGCCCAACAAUUUACUGUGUACAUUACUUCACUUGUUCUUAACUAUAACUCUACAAAAUAUUAUUGUCCUUGAUUUAUAGAUGAAGAUAUUGAGACUCAGUUAAGUAACUUGCUUGAAAUUCAAAAACGUUAACUGUGGAAGGCAGUAUUUGAACCCAGUGUUCAAAACCCCAUGCUCUUUUUAUUAUAUGACCUUAUUUCCUAUUCAGUCUUCAGAAGAUAUAUUGUCUUAUUAGAUUAUUCUCGUUCUCUAAAUAAGUGACCUUGGGCAACUAUCUUUUUCCCUGGUAUUUUCCCCUGCCUUUAAAACAAUGUGAUCAAACUGGAAGUUUUUCACGAUCUCUCUUAGCCCUAAAGCUCCUUGGUUCUGUAAUUCCACCAAUAGCCCAUUUCAAAAAUAAUUCUACAGUAAUCAGUGGGACUCCUGUUUUUCCCAUCUUUUUUUUUUUUGAAACAGAAAAUUGAAACUUUUAAAUUAGUUUAGUAAAUACAUCUACUAGUUUUUUUCUUUUAUAGUCAUGGUUAUAUUAUUUGGUCCUUCUUAGUUGCAACAUGUUUCCUUGCUGUCAAUUUAUAAUACCUCUCAUCAACAAUAGCCUGAAGAAAUAGAUUUGAAUUGCUUUCCCUAAUUUAUAGCUGGAAAACUAGGCUACGCUGGUAUCUUAAAUUGACUUUCCUGAGGUCACGGGCACUCAGUGCCAAGAGGAGUUGGUACCUACGCAUUUGAAAUUUCUGGAUUUCUGGUCUUACUCUGUACUUAGUCACUCUUUUCUUUCAUUUGGCCCUAUGGUGGGCAAACUACAGCCUACAGGCCAAUUCCAGCCUACCAUCUGUUUUUGUAUGGUCCAUGAACUAAGAAUGGUUAUCACAUUUUAAAAUGGUGGGAAAAAAAGACUAUUUUGUGACAUAAAAAUUAUAUGAAAUCCAAAU